GCCCAAACCAAGAGGCUUGCCUCUUGGGGUUGUAGGACACUCUAUACGGAGUUACAAAGGAAUGAUAUAAGCGAAGAGGUCUGGAAAGGCCCGCCAAAGAAGGUAACAGCCCUGUAACUGAAAUGUUAUUCUCUCCAGAGUGGAUCCUGAGUACGGCGGAACACGUGAAAUUCCGUCGGAAUCCGGGAGGACCAUCUCCCAAGGCUAAAUACUCCCUAGUGACCGAUAGUGAACCAGUACCGUGAGGGAAAG
rnacentral:rRNA from 1 species